UUGAAUAAGAUAGUGAAGGAACUAUCAAGAAAAAUAUUUUGAAAAGUAUGGGGAAGUCAUGGAAGGAAACAAGGCUGAAGUUGUAAGAUAAUUUUUACGAGCCAACAUUCACAACUGAACAAAAUAUUGAGCACCAUCCGAUGGGAAUUGAUCGAGAGAAUUGGAGAUAGUUUCUUGACUAUCGCACCAAAGCUGAGACGAAGGAGAAGUACAGGAAAAACACGAUUAAUCGAUCAAAACAACUAUAUACCCACACUAGCGGUUCGAAAAGCUUUGCACGGCGGAUGAAAGAAGAGUCAGAACAACAAGGGAUGAAAAUUAGUAGAGGAGAGUUCUGGAUCAUAGUGCACAAAAAAAAGAUGGCUCCUAUAUCAAUGAUGAAGCAAGAUCAAUUGGUGAAAGAAUUGAGGAGAUAGAGCAAGUGGAUGAGUCUUCUAGAGUGUUGUCUGAAAAUGAUUCCAUUGCUCAGGUUUUUGGAAAAGAGAGACCGGAUAGAGUACGUGGUGUGGGUUCCGGACCGACUCCUAGUCAACUCUUCGGUCUGAAUUCACAUGCGACGGUCAACGGAGUCCAAGUAGAGGAGACCCAGAGGAAGCUUCUAGAAUUGCAGGCAGAGUUGGAAAGCAAGAAGUUGAAGAGGAAGGCGAUGGAGGAUGAGGCAGCAGCAGACAAGAAAAAGUGGCAGGCGAUGGAGAGUGCUCAGACUUAUCUGUAUCAACGGCAGGUUGAGGAGCUCCCACCAGAAAUCGCUACAGGGUUGAGUUCUGUGGAUUGAUAGAGUGAAGAAUAGUGUAUUAGGAUUGGAGAUAUUUUGGUUUGAAGCACACUUUUUUUUUAAUUAGACUAU